rnacentral:rRNA from 1 species
UUGUUAAGGUAGCAUAGUAAUUAGCUCUUUAAUUAAGAGAUUGAAUGAAAGAAAAAAUUAAAAUAAAUAUUUUUUAUUUUCAAUGUGUUGAAUUUUAGUUUAAGUGAAAAUUCUUAAAUAAUUUUUUAAGGCGACAAGACCCUAUGAACCUUUAUUUUUUAUAGCAAAUUUAAAAUCUAUUUGGGGAAAAAAUUAAUUUUUAUAUUAAAACUAUUAAAUAAUUUGAUCUUUAUUAAAAAUUGUGAAGAAGGUACUCUAGGGAUAACAGCGUUAUAGUUAAUAAAGCUCUUAUUUAAAUAACUGUUUGUGACCUCGAUGUGAAU